AAUUGUGCUGGAGGAUCUAGCAAUGUCUGUAGAGAUGUUCUUUCAAGGCAUUUCCUUGGUCUUCCAGCAUGACU
ensembl:miRNA aca-mir-5435a aca-mir-5435a